rnacentral:rRNA from 1 species
UGGGGGAUAACCUGAGGAAACUCAGGCUAAUACCGCAUACGUCCUACGGGAGAAAGCGGGGGCUCUUCGGACCUCGCGCGAUUGGAUGAGCCUAUGUCGGAUUAGCUAGUUGGUAAGGUAACGGCUUACCAAGGCGACGAUCCGUAGCUGGUCUGAGAGGAUGAUCAGCCACACCGGGACUGAGACACGGCCCGGACUCCUACGGGAGGCAGCAGUGGGGAAUAUUGGACAAUGGGCGCAAGCCUGAUCCAGCCAUGCCGCGUGUGUGAAGAAGGCUUUCGGGUUGUAAAGCACUUUCAGCGGGGAAGAAGGCUUGUCGGUCAAUACCCGGCAAGAGCGACAUCACCCGCAGAAGAAGCACCGGCUAACUCCGUGCCAGCAGCCGCGGUAAUACGGAGGGUGCAAGCGUUAAUCGGAAUUACUGGGCGUAAAGCGCGCGUAGGCGGCGUGUCACGCCGGGUGUGAAAGCCCCGGGCUCAACCUGGGAACGGCAUCCGGAACGGGCAGGCUAGAGUGCAGGAGAGGAAGGUAGAAUUCCCGGUGUAGCGGUGAAAUGCGUAGAGAUCGGGAGGAAUACCAGUGGCGAAGGCGGCCUUCUGGACUGACACUGACGCUGAGGUGCGAAAGCGUGGGUAGCAAACAGGAUUAGAUACCCUGGUAGUCCACGCCGUAAACGAUGUCGACUA